rnacentral:lncRNA from 1 species
GAGGAAGCAAGAAGGUAGUACCGAGAAGAAGCAAGGGAGCAGAAGACAAUUUUCUUCUGACUUUCAGUUUAAAAAUGCUGCAACCAUCAUGACAACCAGAGAGGGACCAGGACUUGUCAAAACUGUGCCAGAGAGAGAUUUUGGUGGAUUGCAGAACACCCUCAUUAGCCACACUUGUUGGAAGAAUGCUCCAGACCAACUUCGAUCUGAAAAUGAAAGUCUGGUGAUCAAGACACAGAGCUGAGAUUCCAGUGGCUAAUAGCAUUUACGUCUUCAUCCUCCAGCUAGGGAAGUGCCUUCAAAACAAGUUUCUGAACAUAAGUUAUCCAGUUGGACACAUGGUGAGCAUAAUUCUCCAACAAAAACUACAUUGAUUAUAAUGUAGUUUUCAUUAUUUGAAAUGACCAAGG